rnacentral:rRNA from 1 species
CCUACGGGAGGCAGCAGUGGGGAAUAUUGCACAAUGGGGGAAACCCUGAUGCAGCGACGCCGCGUGAGUGAAGAAGUACUUCGGUAUGUAAAGCUCUAUCAGCAGGGAAGAAAAUUACGGUACCUGAGUAAGAAUCCCCGGCUAACUACGUGCCAGCAGCCGCGGUAAUACGUAGGGGGCAAGCGUUAUCCGGAUUUACUGGGUGUAAAGGGAGCGUAGACGGGAGUGCAAGUCUGGAGUGAAAGGCGGGGGCUCAACCCACGGACUGCUCUGGAGACUGUACGGCUGGAGUGCAGUAGAGGUAAGUGGAAUUCCUAGUGUAGCGGUGAAAUGCGUAGAUAUUAGGAGGAACACCAGUUGCGAAGGCAGCUUACUGGACUGUAACUGACGUUGAGGCUCGAAAGCGUGGGGAGCAAACAGGAUUAGAUACCCCAGUAGUC